AAAACAUGUCUUUUUGUAUAUAAAUAUAAAGUCUAGCCUGCCCACUGAUUAAUUAAAUGGCCGCAGUAUCCUAACUGUGCAAAGGUAGCAUAAUCAUUAGUCUUUUAAUUGAAGGCUGGUAUGAAUGGUUGGACGAAAUAUUAACUGUUUCAUAUAAAUUGAUAGAAUUUUAUUUUUUAGUGAAAAAGCUAAAAUUUUUUUAAUAGACGAGAAGACCCUAUAAAGCUUAAUAUUCAAUAAAUUUAAAAACAAAAAGAUAAAUUAUUUUUUAAAUUUUCAGAAUAUUUUAUUGGGGUGAUAGUAAAAUUUAUUAAACUUUUACUUUAUAAUUUCAUAGAUUUAUGAAUUAUUGAUCCACUUAUUGUGAUUAAAAAUUUAAGUUACUUUAGGGAUAACAGCGUAAUCUUUUUGGAGAGUUCAUAUCGAUAAAAAGGAUUGCGACCUCGAUGUUGGACUAAGGUAUAGCUUAGGCGCAGCAGCUUAAGAAUUAAGUCUGUUCGACUUUUAAUUUC
rnacentral:rRNA from 1 species